rnacentral:rRNA from 1 species
GAUGAACGCUGGCGGCGUGCCUCAAACAUGCAAGUCGAGCGAGGCUAUGAGUUACCGCAAGGUAAGGCAUAGCCUAGCGGCGAACGGGUGAGUAACACGUGGGUAACCUACCUGGAAGACAGGGAUAACGAUUCGAAAGGGUCGCUAAUACCUGAUAAUAUCCAUCUGCCGGAUGGCGGAGGGAAGAAAGGGGAAACCCGCUUUCAGAUGGGCCCGCGUCCCAUCAGCUAGUUGGUAAGGUAAAGGCUUACCAAGGCGACGACGGGUAGCCGGUCUGAGAGGAUGUACGGCCACACUGGGACUGAGAUACGGCCCAGACUCCUACGGGAGGCAGCAGUUGGGAAUCUUAGGCAAUGGACGAAAGUCUGACCUAGCGACGCCGCGUGAGGGGAAGAAGGCCUUCGGGUUGUAAACCUCUGUCAUGGGGGAAGAAGGAAGUGACGGUACCCAAGAGGAAGCCCCUGCUAACUACGUG